GAGUUUGAUCUUGGCUCAGGAUGAACGCUGGCGGCGUGCCUAACACAUGCAAGUCGAACGGAGUUCUUAAGGAAUGCGGCUUCGGCCAAAUGACUUUUGAACUUAGUGGCGGACGGGUGAGUAACGCGUGAGCAACCUGGCCUUUCAGAGGGGGAUAACAUUUGGAAACAGAUGCUAAUACCGCAUAAGAUUACAGUACCGCAUGAUACAGUGAUCAAAGGAGCAAUCCGCUGAAAAGAUGGGCUCGCGUCCGAUUAGAUAGUUGGUGAGGUAACGGACGUCACCAAGUCGACGAUCGGUAGCCGGACUGAGAGGUUGAACGGCCACAUUGGGACUGAGACACGGCCCAGACUCCUACGGGAGGCAGCAGUGGGG
rnacentral:rRNA from 1 species